rnacentral:rRNA from 1 species
UACAGAGGGUGCGAGCGUUAAUCGGAAUUACUGGGCGUAAAGGGUGCGUAGGUGGUUAUAAAAGUUAGGUGUGAAAGCCCUGGGCUCAACCUAGGAAUGGCGCUUAAAACUAUAUGACUAGAGAAUUGUAGAGGUAAGUGGAAUUUCCGGUGUAGCGGUGAAAUGCGUAGAUAUCGGAAGGAACACCAGUGGCGAAGGCGACUUACUGGACAAAUACAGACACUGAGGCACGAAAGCGUGGGGAGCAAACAGG